rnacentral:rRNA from 1 species
AAAGCGCGCGUAGGUGGUUCGUUAAGUUGGAUGUGAAAUCCCCGGGCUCAACCUGGGAACUGCAUUCAAAACUGACGAGCUAGAGUAUGGUAGAGGGUGGUGGAAUUUCCUGUGUAGCGGUGAAAUGCGUAGAUAUAGGAAGGAACACCAGUGGCGAAGGCGACCACCUGGACUGAUACUGACACUGAGGUGCGAAAGCGUGGGGAGCAAACAGGAUUAGAUACCCGUGU